rnacentral:rRNA from 1 species
GCUAUCGGAUUGAUACUAAGCCAUGCGAGUCAUUGUAGCAAUACAAGGCAGACGGCUCAGUAACGCGUAGUCAAUCUACCCUAUGGACGGGAAUAACCUCGGGAAACUGAGAAUAAUGCCCGAUAGAACAUUAUGCCUGGAAUGGUUUAUGUUUCAAAUGAUUUAUCGCCAUAGGAUGGGACUGCGGCCUAUCAGUUUGUUGGUGAGGUAAUGGCCCACCAAGACUAUUACAGGUACGGGCUCUGAGAGGAGUAGCCCGGAGAUGGGUACUGAGACACGGACCCAGGCCCUAUGGGGCGCAGCAGGCGAGAAAACUUUGCAAUGUGCGAAAGCACGACAAGGUUAAUCCGAGUGGUUUCUGCUAAAGAAACCUUUUGUCAGUCCUAGAAACACUAACGAAUAAGGGGUGGGCAAGUUCUGGUGUCAGCCGCCGCGGUAAAACCAGCACCUCAAGUGGUCAGGAUGAUUAUUGGGCCUAAAGCAUCCGUAGCUCGUUUUGUAAGUUUUCGGUUAAAUCCAUGCGCUUAACGUAUGGGCUGCCGGGAAUACUGCAUAACUAGGAAGUGGGAGAGGUAGACGGUACUCGGGAGGAAGGGGUAAAAUCCUUUGAUCUCUUGAUGACCACCUGUGGCGAAGGCGGUCUACCAGAACACGUUCGACGGUGAGGGAUGAAAGCUGGGGGAGCAAACCGGAUUAGAUACCCGGGUAGUCCCAGCUGUAAACUAUGCAAACUCAGUGAUGCAUUGGCUUAUGGCCAAUGCAGUGCUGCAGGGAAGCCGUUAAGUUUGCCGCCUGGGAAGUACGUACGCAAGUAUGAAACUUAAAGGAAUUGGCGGGGGAGCACCACAGGGGGUGAAGCCUGCGGUUCAAUUGGAUCAACGCC